rnacentral:SRP_RNA from 1 species
GCUGGGCGUGGUGGUGGGCGCCUGUAAUCCCAACUACUCGGGAGGCUGAGGUAGGAGAAUUGCUUGAACCCAGGAGAUGGAGGUUGCAGUGAGCUGAGAUCAUGCCACUGCACUCCAGCCUGGGUGACAGAGCAAGACUCUGACUCAA